GGCUGAUUGGUGUAAUCUUAGUGCGUUUAACGUUGAUUCGUACUAGAGAUAGCAGGUUCGAUUCCUGCAUUGGUCA